UACAGAGACUGCAAGCGUUAUUCGGAUUCACUGGGCGUAAAGGGUGCGCAGGCGGCCAAGUGUGUGAGGCGUGAAAGCCCGGGGCUUAACCCCGGAAUUGCGCCUCAAACUACAUGGCUAGAGCAUUGGAGAGGGUAGCAGAAUUCAUGGUGUGGCAGUGAAAUGCGUAGAUAUCAUGAGGAAUACCAGAGGCGAAGGCGGCUACCUGGACAAUUGCUGACGCUCAGGCACGAAAGCGUGGGGAGCAAAAGGG
rnacentral:rRNA from 1 species